rnacentral:rRNA from 1 species
AGAAUCAACGCUGGCGGCGUGCCUAACACAUGCAAGUCGAACGGGAAAGUGGAGCAAUCCAUGAGUAUAGUGGCGACCGGGUGAGUAACACGUGACUAACCUACCUUCGAGUGGGGGAUAACCUCGGGAAACCGAGGCUAAUACCGCAUAACAUCGCAAGAUCAAAGCAGCAAUGCGCUGGAAGAGGGGGUCGCGGCUGAUUAGCUAGUUGGCGGGUAACGCCCACCAAGGCGAAGAUCGGUA